rnacentral:tRNA from 1 species
GCCUCCAUGGUCUAGUUGGUCAUGACGUGGGUCUCAUAAUCCCGAGGUCACCAGUUCGAUCCUGGUUGGGGGCA